GAUGAAAUCCUGGUGGAGGCAAUGAGUCAAUUUGGGACACCUUCAGAUUUGCACUGUCUAUAUUUAAAUGGAGUGAGGGAACGAACCUUAGCACUGUCUCCAAUUUCCUUUUCCAGGAACCAUUUGCAGUUUAUUCCAUUGGAGAACUCUGGUUUUGUUUUGUUUUGUUUUUUUCCGGAGCUGGGGACCGAACCCAGGGCCUUGCGCUUCCUAGGCAAGCGCUCUACCACUGAGCUAAAUCCCCAACCUGAGAACUCUGAUUUUUACAGUCUCCUUUGUGUAUGGUGUGUGCACUCUUACGUGUGUGACUGCAGGCAGUAGGUGCCACCUACACAUAUGGAAGUCAUAGGACAACCUGGAUUGUCAGUUUUAGUCUCCCACCUUGUAGAUGGGGUCUCUUUGUCCUUUGACUUUUAUAUGCAGCAGGCCAACUGGCUUGGGGCUUCUGGGGCUUUCUCCAGUCUCCCCGAAGGGGCACUGGACUUAUAGAUGUUCACACUGUGUACUGCGCUUUUAUACACUGCAUUGUUUUUCUGUGGCUGUGAUAACACCAUGGCCAAGGCAGCUUACGGAAGGAAGAGUUUAUUUGGGUAUCCUCUACUAGAAGGAGAGUCAGUCUGGGAAGCACGGUAUAGCCAUACUUAUGUAUGUAUUGUGGAUACACACACACAGUCUCAAAGUCCUCAAGUUUCUAGUGAUACCUUGGUUCUUUUUUUUUUUUUCUUUUUUCUUUUUUUCGGAGCUGGGGACCGAACCCAGGACCUUGCACUUGCUAGGUAAGCGCUCUACCACUGAGCUAAAUCCCCAACCCGAUACCUUGAUUCUUGAAUAGUCCACACCUCCCCAAACAGCACUACCAAUGUAAGGACCCAGUAUUUAAAUAUCUGUGACUAGAGGGACGUUUCUCACUCAAGCUAUAUUGAGGAUUUGAACUCAGGUCUUUGCUCUUAUAUGGUAAGUGUAUCAACUUCUGAGCUGAUCUUGAAUUCCUUUUCAUUUCAUUCACAAUGUGAGAUGGCUAUCUUAGGAUUGCAGAGGACUCACACAUGGUGACAAUGGCAAAGAGUUGACUUGGAGCAUCACGGUCCACCUGGCUGUGUAGAGUCACUGAACAUCUUGAAUCCUCAACUUACCCUUCUCUAAAACGGUAGUGAUAUCAUCAGAUCCCCUCUACCAAAUAAAGUGUGAAUCCACAGCCAUUUAAUGUUCGGGAUGCUGGAGGAUUGUUAAGUCAGUUUCCUAAGAAGUAUAAUUGGUACAAUAAGCAAUUGAAUGUAUUUCUCUACAAUAGAUAUUUUUUUCUCCCUUUUACUUCUUUCUUUAAAGUUUCCUGCUUGAGAACUGAGCUCAUGUAAUUUCCACCUGGCUCCUUUUCAGAUUCAUAAUCUCUUCUUUAAUUAUAAUGGUUACACAUGCUGUUACAUAUGUUGUUACAUUUACACACACACACUUACACACUAAUGAGUCCAUUCAGUGUUGCUCAUUUGUAUCUGUCUGUAAAGUUGUUGGGGACCUUAGAGGAGAAUCAAGUACUACACCUUUGUUAUAUAAAUAUAAUUUCUAACUGCAUUAUAAAUAAUUUCCCCUACACCCAGGGCAUAACUGUAGCUCUCACUCCUCACCAAAGGAUCUUUUAUUAAUAAAAACUUCAUGUGAUAUAUUUUGACAUUUUUAGAAAUGUCUUUCUGUAAACCAUUACAGAAAGCUACAACCGGUCAAGAUGCGGAGAAAGUACUGACCAUAAGGUGCCCAACCCCAACUGAUACAUUCACAAUACAACCCCCACACCUAAAACUCAGGGAACAUCACAGAAAAAGGGGGGAUGUAAAGAUUAUAAGAGCCAGAGGACCAGGACACCUGCUACAAGAUUGUGUCUUCCACAAAUGACAGGGAAAACUGCACCCGUGAAAUUUCAACAGUAUGGCUGCUUAAACAAGCCCUGAUUAUUGACAUGUAGUCAGUUGGCAUGGCAACACAGGUGAGGAAAAUCUCACAAGGACCCACCUUUGGAUGAAGAACUCCAGGCAAUGAAUCGCUCCUGAGAGAUGGAGGAUGUGUCUUCUUCAAGGAUGAGCCCUCUGAUAGGUUAUAGUGGACUUCUCAAAAAAGAUACACACCGCUUGUUUGGGGUCUUCAAGUUAUAAGCCUGUGGUUCUUGGCCAUUUCGAUGAACUUUUUGCCAUCCAGAAAACGUAUUUGCCUCUCUCCACAAAUUAUUCAGAUUCAUGUCAAUUUCAUUAUGGAAAUAUAUACAGGAGGUCAAGUUCCAACUCAAAUUUCAUGGUAGCUGUUGUAUAAAUAAUCACUAACCAUUCCUUAUCUCAGAGAGAAGGUAUGACGUGUCCCUUUGAAGCACAUGCGUGGUUCAGUGGGUCCAAGGGUGCCGAAGAGAACUGCUAGCUGUGCCUUCCAGCUGUUCGCUUCAGAUAUAAUUUCCACAUGACAACUAAUUAAAGCGUAGGGCAAGGAUUAUAGUCUUCGUGGUUUCCAAAAUUUCCUGAAAGUAUCCGAGAAUAAAAUUUUAGAUUCGUCUUCCCCCAAAUCUCACUCUUACCUUUCCAUAGUACUCAGUACCGGCUCCUUGGUGAUCAAAUGCCUCCCUGAUCAUAGAGAAGGGCUUAAAGAUAGAGAUUUUUAGGGUUAGGGGACCAUGGGGAAUCAUUAAUAUCUUUACUCCUCAGCUUACCUUUCUGUAAAAUCAUAUUGCUAUCUCCUUCUGAAGUGGGCAAGGAGAUUAAAUAUGGAUACAUAUGAUAAUUGAGUUGUAUAGGGUAGUUUUGCUUUUCUACAUGGUUCCAAGAGAAUGUUCAACUGAACUCAGCCAUCAGUGUCUUGGCGGACAGGAAAGGAUAGUGUCAGUCAAAGCACGGAAACACAGAUGCUGAUCGAUGGCUUUUAAAGAAGGCUCCUUACAGAGGUCAUGAGCACAGUUUACAGGAGGUAUAAUGGGGCACAUACAUUUUACCCCUGAAACAUAUACUGAGGAUGCCGAAGAAACAUAUGGCUGAUUUGCACAAAGACAAAUAUGCAUGGGAUGGGGGUAGGCAAGUUAACAACUUAAGCUUUUCUUGGAGCUUUCAACAUUCUUAGAAGCUUUCUGUCUUUGCUUAUUUAUUAUUUUAUUAUUAAUGUAUUGUCUAUUAUUUGGCAUACUUUAAAUCGUUGCAUAUUUAGCUUAUUAUUUAUGUGCAUUCAUGGGCACACAUGUGAGCAUGCCAGGACCCAUAUUUGGAGGUCAGUGGACAACUAUGGUAGUUGGUUCUCAAACUUAGGUCAUCAGUGCUUGCAGUAAAUACUUUUACCUGCUGAGUCGUUUCCCCAAAGCCACUGGGAAGUUUUCAACUGGUUAAGUUGGCCUUGCCCCACCCUCUAUAAUAUAUGGAGAUCUAAGAUACCUCUGGGUAGUCAGACUUUGGAAGGAUGCUGUGGACUAUGAAGGGAUGUGGUAGGAAGCAUUAUGGCUUACCAAAGAUACCCAGAUGUGUCACGGCUUGAGUGUCAAAUGUGUCUCAUGGGCUUAUGGGCUUAAAGACUUUGCCACCAGCUGGUAGCAGGGUGUUGAGAGAUUGUGGAACUUCUGUGGUGGUGGGAGGAAUCCCUGCUUCACCAGCUAUCUCUCCAUCAGAUACAAGCAAGCAGUGGCGACUGUCAGAGUCAUGCAUCCCUCACCCUGUGUGCCUCUCUCACCAUGAUGGACUAUAACCGUCCAAUCUGUGAGCCUGUCCUCCCUAAGUUCUUUUGUUGUGCAUUUGGUCACAGUGACAUGAAUCUGGCUAACACGGCAUCUUAAUCUCCAAUGAGUGCGAAUGCUUUGCCUUAGCUGGCCAAAGGACCUUUAGGGAUCCUUAAGGAUGCUGAGGUGAAAGGAUUAUCUUGUUGUUUCAAACGAGGACAGCUCGAUCAUACGUUUGGAAUUGGGCAAACACCCUACUUGGGGUUCAGAUGAGCUGUGGUUACAGAAGCAUGGUUGGCGGGGGGAAGGUUUUCCUGUCCUGAAGAGUUUUAACUGUCAGGUAGACAUAGCCUAGGACCAUGUGGGAAGGGAGGCUUAGUGAGAGGCCACCUACAUCAGGUUGCUGCUGAUAAUGCUGCUCCUUUGCAAAGAGGGAAGUGAAGGCUCAAAGAGGACAAAGAUCAACUCAGCAGCCCCACGUUUCGGUAUUGGCACCAUCUCUGCUACUGUUUCACCAUUGCUUUUAUUUCGUAAAGAUUUUUAGCACAGGGCUGGAGAGAUGGCUCAGCGGUUAAGAGCACUGACUGCUCUUUCGGAGGUCCUGAGUUCGAGUCCCAGCAACCACAUGAUGGCUCACAACCAUCUGUAGUGGGAUCCGAUGCUCUCUUCUGGUGUCUGAAUACAGCUACAGUGUACAUAAAAUACAUACAUAAAUAAAUAGAUAAAUCUUCUUUUAAAAAAAAAGAUUUUUAGUACAGAAAGACCAGCUGGCUCUAGGAACGUGGGCGUGCUAAAUAUAACUUCGCCCAACCAAUAAACAGGCUACUCUUGUCUCUCUCAUCACUGGGGUAAAACAGGUGCCCAGAGCUUCAAGGACAUCUGCUUCCUUUUCUAGACAAGGACUUACUACCUACUCAGGAUGUUCUUGAACUUGAAAUCUGCCUGCUUCAGCCUCCUUAAUGCUGGGACUUCAGAUGAGACCAAUUGCUCUUACCUUAAGCACCACAACACAUGGCAAGGAUUCUCAGCCAUGGCAGACGUAUGGAAAGGCUCACCCUAAAUGCCCAGAGAAACACGUUCCAGUCUACACACACUACCAUGAGCAGGAAUUUGCUUCUUCAUUUCAGGAGUUUUUAUUGAUCCCAAUAAUAGUUAUCCUCACCAUUAAAUAGCUGAAUAUUAUUUCUUACUAAUUCAGGAAUCUCACCUUCAUGAAUUCCACAGCCAACUUCAGAACAAUGGUUGGGCUCUGCCCCAGCCCCCUCCACAGGACCCCAAGCUCCCCCACCAGGCUCCCUUUUUUCAUUCUACUGAUUAGUGUCUUCUCUGACCUUGAGGACAGAAAAACCCGCUCCUCUCAUUCCAGACUUUAAAAAUCAUAUUCCCUUAGUCACUCAGAAUGAAUACAUUUAAAACCCAGUAGACUUUUCUUUGAUGGAAUAGAUUUUUCUCUGAAGCCAUGUACGCUAGGUGGGGUAACCAAACUCCCGGGAAAGGAUGAGAAAGGAAAAGAAACGUUCAAGUAAGUAAAAAGUCUCAGUCAGUGUCUCGAAUCACAGCAACCUACAGGUUCCUCUUCAAUGUCAGUCUCUCAUCCGGAUCACAAGUACAAGUGGCAGGAACAGAGGGAGGGGCCUUCCCACAGGCUCAUUCCACAAUAGUCAGGACGAACCUGCAGGGAGCUUGCAACACGUCCCCAAACUUCUCUGACUUGUUCACUCCCUUUGUUUUGAUAAAACUAAACAGUUGAAGAAUGCUGUUGUUAAAUUUUUCUUUGAAUAUUGCAUGGGGUACAUAGCCAUUGUGCAUAGUAUUGGGUCUCAUACAAACAACUGUAUAUACACACAGUUAUAUAUAUAUAUAUAUAUAUAUAUAUAUAAUUUUUUGUAUGUAACACACACAAACAUGUUCUGCAUAGGAGAAUGAAAAAAAAAAGCAAAUUUGGUGCCUAUUACUGUUUUACCAGUUACCCAGUCAACCUUGUAAUCCCCCGACUAAUAAGUUAAUUUUACUUUUCUAGCAUUUUACAAAACUCAGUAGACAAUAUACUUUAUAAUCAGGUCUUGUCAUUAGUCACCUUAAGUGACCUUAAUGCCUGUGCAAAGAAGAUUCAUCAGGCCCCAAAAGGAUAUCUCUCCAAGGGUCUGUUCACUUUCUCGCCUGGCCUUAAAGACCUCAGCUCUAGGGAUGGGUGAUAGUGUUCGGUAGGCAAAGCAUGACAACCAGAAUUUGAUCUCAAAGAAAGCCCAGCAUGGUGACGUGGACACGGUGUUGGGUUUGUAGGAAUCAGGCAGGAUCCUGGAGAUCUCUGUCACCCCGUUGAGACCAAGGGUGCAAGCCCAGGAGAACACCAUGCCUUAAAACACAAGGUUGACUGCACCUGAGGAAUGACAGCUGAGGCUAAACGCUGUCACAGCGACUCAGGAUCGAAAGCCCCACAUCACAGAAAUAGUGUGAAAGUUACAUCGCAGAGCCAGCUCGUGUAGAGCUGGGCCCACCCCUUCUAACGACUUUUAAAAUGGUAUAGCAAUUCUCCACGUUUUGUUGUUGUUGAGUAUGCUGUAGCUGUCUUCAGACACACCAGAAGAGGGCAUCAGAUCCCAUGACAGAAGGUUGUGAGCCACCAUGUAGUUGCUGGGAAUUGAACUCAGGACCUCUGGAAGAGCAGCCAGUGCUCUUAACCACUGAGCCAUUCUCUCUUGCCCCCCGAUUUUUUACUUUUUACUGCUUUCCUAAAUAAAAAUAUCAAAGAGGAGAGAAAGGCAUUUUCUUCCUAAGACCCUUUAAAAUCUUUUAGCAUGAUCAAAUUAGCCACUAAAACGCAGGCCUUUGGAAUAUUAAAGGUAAUUCUUUUUGUAGAAUUCAAAAUAAUUGAAUUUGUAUGGUAACCAUUUUAACUCUGCUCUGGUAUUUUUUUUUUCUUCUCCUUUCAGUGUGCCAAUAUCUUUUGGAGAUAAAUGUCAAUCAAGUAUGGGAGUAAAAGGAAAAAUGCUUUCACUUCAAAGACUAAGUUUUAUAUCCUAGGAGGUUGAAGAAAGCUCUCCCUGAUGAUAAUAGCCCCCUAUCCCCCCAGUGCAUGGAUGAUGACGUCUGUAUGAACUCCUGUUCCAUCCACAGCAUGUGGACGCUAACCUCUUUAUCCAUGUUAGUCUGAUAGGCAAAACACUGAAGCCCAUGAAGUAACUAUGACCCUUUUACAGUUUAAGGUCAAAGAAGGCUAAGACACUCACUGACUUCUAAGUGUACAGUCCCUCCCAUUGCACCUUAACUUAAGAACAAUCUACCAAUGCAGUGGUUCUCAACCUUCCUAAUGCUGUGAUCUUUUGAUACAGUCCCUCAUGGUGUGGUGACCCCCCUCAACCAUAAAAUUAUUUUUGUUGCUACUUCAUAACUGUUCUUUUGCUACUAUUAUGAACCAUAAUGUAAAUAUGUAAAUAUCUGAUAUUCAGGAUAUCUGACAUAUGACCCCUGGGAAAGGGUCGUUCAACUCCCCAAGGAGUCGAGACCCACAGAUUGUGUGCGAAUCACUGUACUAAUGAGUUUUGAAGUCCCUGGGACACAGGUUCUGCCACCUUCGGCCAUAUGGACCGCAGCCUGUGACAUCCUUCCUUCUUGAAUGUGACAGGCAGACACACUGGAAUGCAGGGGCACCGGAUCUGUCUCUGUGGAAUGGAAACUUCAGGGCUAAUUGGCUAGAAAGCCAAGAAAAAUGAAUGCCAAAGCCAAGGGGAUGUUUGAGACUCCCUUCAAACAUAAUAAAAACCCACUGACUGCUGACAUGGUUCUUUGAGGCUUUGAUCCACAGAUGUAUUUUACUAAAAAGACCCCAGCUGCCCAUUUGACUCAGGCCCUUUAUAAUGAAAAUGUUUUAUUUCUCUUCUCUGUUUCUGCUCGUGUUAAACUGAAGUGGAAGAAAAUGGUACCAUGUAGUGUGGGACACGCCUUCAGCUGACGUAUUUCUGCAUAUAGAAAACAGGAUCAAUGUACUUAAGCCAAGCAUGAUUGCUAUUCACUAAACACAUUUCCCAGAGCGGUCUGCUUAAGGAUGUGGGGACAAUGUGUGAGGUCUGAAAUAUCAGUGGAGGAAGAAAAGACAUCUAUCAUCUUAGACUGACAAUUCCCCCAGGGGAUGUGGCUGCCAUGCCUUAUGGUCAAUUAUCCAGGAUCAUUCUCCCAUGCCUCCAGUCUCAGACACGGCCUCAUUCUUUAGGUAGUAAAUGAUGGUCCCUCUGGCCUUGAGAUCACACUGCAGCUGGAGUCACGGGAGGUUGUGACUCAUCUGAUGUGAGUGCUGAGAACCGAAUUAGGAUCCUCUAGAAGAGCAGUGAGUGUUCUUUAGUUGCUGUGUUGUCCUGCCAGCCCAUGUGUCAAUUUCUUAUGAGAAACAUUAAUUAAUUCCACGCAGCUCUUUUCUAAUUAAUCUCAUAAAAUCUUCUAGUGAAAUCUAACCAAACACAAAGAUCUAGUGAAUUAUUUAAGAAGUUGAUCACAUGCAAAUCCUAUUAUAUGCACAUAUACAUCUAUCUAUCCGUCUAUCUAUCUAUCUAUCUAUCUAUCUAUCUAUCUAUCUAUCUAUCUAUCAUCUGUCUCUGUGUCCAUCUAUCUACUGUAGGUGAAGAUAUAUUGAGAUAUAAUUUACACAGUAAAUAAUUUUUCUAUUUACAAUGUAGACUGUAAUAACUUUCAGUAUGUUCAGAAACUUCAGCAUACAUUCUUGUGGCCAAUUUUAAAGUGUUUUCUUUACUUGGAAAGGAUAGACACACCUUGCCCAUAGCUACUAGAUAUCCCAUCCAUUCAUCUCCCUCGCUGUUUGGUAUCCACUGAUAUAUCUUCCUGGGGCUUUCUUCAUUCUUGAGGCUCUCUAUAAAUAGGAUCAUAUGACAGUUGUUCCCUCUUUGACCCGCUUCUCUCUCUUAGCAUAAUGCUCUCAUGAUUCAUUCAUGCCGCAUGUGUCAGAACUUCAUUCAUUGUCAUGGACAAAUGGAGUCUCUCUGUAGGGGUGUGCUACGUCUUAUUUAUAUUUUAGUUGCUGUGCCUUCGAGCUGUUUCCACUUUUCGUCUCUCAUGAAUAACUCCUCCAUAACCACUCAUGUCUAAGAUUCAGCACAGAUGUAUGCUUAUUUCUGUUGGGAAUGCUGGGUCAACUGUAGCUAUUUUAACCUACUGAAGGAUUUUUUUUGAGCGGUCACUAAGUUGUCCACAUCUCAAGGAGCAGUUGGUGAUCAUCUCAGUCUUCAAGGUCCCCACACUAGACCCUUAAAUUGCCAUAUUUGGAUAAAGCAAGCAAUCCCUCCACCAUGCACUCUCGGGUCCUGUGCCACUGUGUCAACAGCCUCCCUCGCAGCGUCUAAGAGAUGCAAGUGUAAAUCACAGAAUGUUUUUGAUCCCAACCAAAUAAACACUUAACCUUCAACUCCUUUAUAUGCACAAUGAGGAUAAAUAUCUCCCUUGCAGUAAGAGCUACGCAAGACUGAACUGUGUUUUCCGCAGAGCACAGAGCGGUCUGGUAACUAAGACAGGUGUUAGAAAAGCCAGGCGCAGCUCCUUGUUUUGCUAAUGCUAUUCGUUAGGAUUCUCACACUUCACCAGCAUCCAAUACAGAAGGUGGUGAGUGAGACAUUGCUUAUUAUAGUCAUCCCUUUAGAAUUUCGACAGUGGGGUUCAUGGCUAAUCUGGUCCUACUCUCUUGAUGUGUUCCUACUGAUGUCAGGGAUAAAGUAGAGGGUCCUAAUCCCUUGUCAUCAGAGCUGAUCGCUCCUUCUUUAAUGACUCCACUAGGAAAUUUGGGAACUGAGCUUCUAUAGUGGAAUUCUUGACCUCCUUUGAGCAUUGGCUUCUAGGCAGAGUUUCCAUUAGGAGGAACUGAGACUUUGGGGAAAAGAGAGAAUGGCUAAGCCAUCAUCAUCACCAUCACCAUGACCAUGACCAUCACCAUGACCAUCAUCAUCAUUAUUAUGUGUGGUUUGGUGGCUCAGCACGGUGUGGAUUCCUUUCAAUGAAACCAUAGCUACUGUAGCUUGGUUUCAAUCCUGUCAUUGAUUCUGAUAUAGACUCUUUCCACUGGGUUUUCUGGUUGGGUGAAGGUGCAGGGUUGAUGUCUAAAUGUCAUACAGGCAACAGCUCCCUGGUGUGUACACCAUCUCCCAUGAACCUAGUCCUAACCCAUCCAUUUAGAUACUGCCUUUAAGGGUAGAGAAGUAUGAAGACCACAGUUUGGGCCCCCACUAUUCAGGUACAUGCUAGAUAGGUGGGUGGCUCUCUAUAACCUGAGUGUUUAGGAGGCAGAGCCAGGUUAGUCCCAGAGCAAGCUGAAUAGCUACGUAGUUGGAAUCAGCCAAUUUAAGGAGAGGUCCUGUCUUACUGCAUCAGGUGGAGAAUGAUGGAGAACACCCAACCGUACCCCUGGUAUGCAUGGGCACACUUAUGCACACAAGCACACAUGCACACAUGCAUGCACACACAGAGUUGGAUAUUGCUCUUAUUAAAUUAAUUCUCAUGCUUUUUAUAUCACAUAGUUUCUAUGAGGAAUCUAAGGUUGGCUUAAUCCUGAUCUGGGAUUUCUACCCUGCCUUUGACAUUUAGUUCCUGGAUAAAGACACUCUACUUUUAUUAUUUACAAUAAGCCUUAAACAGCACAAGAAGUGGGCAGGUAUCUACUCUCUGUGCCAUUAAAAUCGAUUUCGUAUCGAUAACCCGAGUUAUUACUAUGUUUUAUCUGGGCUGCUCUUAAGUCCAACUGGUCAGCCUUCAGGGCCAUGUUUUCUUGACUCCUAACCUUAGACAACCUUUUCUUCCUCCUUCAUCUUCUUCUCUCUCUUGUGGUUCUCCUCUGACCGCCCCCCCCCCACCCGAGACCCAGGAACCCUAAAACCCAACUAUGUCUCUUCUGCCCAGCUAUUGGCUGCCAGCAUUUUUAUUUACCAAUCAGAGAUAACUUGGGGGCAAGGUCACAUACCAAUAGUUGGGUCUAUGAGCAGACUCCCUUGUCGCUGGGACAACCAAGUCUUGGGGGCCACACUUCGUAAUGUACAGUAUACAGUAAAAGACCUUAACAAGUAACCAGUGUAUCUAACAUCUAACUUGCUGUGUUCUUCCACACGGAGUCCUGUUCUGUCUUCAUUGACCCAGCCCACAUCCUCACAGUGUCAGUGUGAAAUAGGGGAUUCUUAUUAUCUCUUCCAUUUUUAAGACGGCGAAACACAGGCACAGAGAUCACAGUAAGUAACAAAGCCAGAACCAACUCCCCAUUGGCCUGCUUGUUACCUCUAUGCAUUGGUCUUUAUAUGAUUCAGACCAUCUGCGGGGGCAAAGUUCUUCACCGAGGACACUCAGCCAGCUGCUUGGCUUGGCAAGAUGUUGGCGGCGAGAUGGAUUAUACUCUUUGGACUUCAUGAGUCACUGGUAAUUGUGUGAAUCCAUGUUCAAUGCGACCAGCUGAGAAGCUUGAAUCUAUGCAGAAAGACUGUCAAUCUGCCGGCUAAUGCAUGAUCACUGUAGAAGGACCCAGGGUUCACACCCCAGGUAACACAGACCCAGGCAGAAGCAGGAUGAUUUAGAUAUAUUUGUGACUUAGAAAACAUUUUCUCACGGAUAGGGAUAAUAAAAGGCUGGGACCCAAACUCAGGUCCUCAUGCUUUUGUGGUGGGCCCCUUAUCCACUGAGUCCAGCACCCCUACCCCCAGUGCUAUUUUCAACUUUCUGCCUUGGCUAUUUGACAGCCCCAACUUUCCUAGUCAGCACAGCCUUUUAUUGAACCUUAGUACAAAGUAGCAGGUCAUUCGUCUGAUUUACUGCCUUCAUGGGAAUCUGGUAUUGUAGCCCUUAACAUUUCUGAAUAAAUUUUAUAUAACCAGCUUGCCAAUUUCCUAGAAGAAUAAGCCAGGAUUUAUGCUGAGAUUGCUAAGCGCAAUUGGGGGACAUAACCCCUCCUUUUUUGGCCAUGUCCUUGUGUGUGUGUGUGUGUGUGUGUGUGUGAGAGAGAGAGAGAGAGAGAGAGAGAAACAGAGACAGAGAGACAGAGGCAGAGAGACAGAGACAGACUGAGAGAGAGACAGAGAGAGAGAGAGAGAGAAUCCAAAUGUUUUAAAUUAUUGAUUCAGUUUCUUUACCUGUUAGAAAAGCGUUUGGCUAUUUCAGCUCUUCUUGUAUGGGAUUUCAGCUGGGUCCUCUGUUUCAUUUGAAUCUUCGAAUUUAUUAAUCGUAAAGGUUUUUAUAUGCCUGCUUUGUCUCUUUAAUGUCCCUCACAGGCAUCACCCUCUUUUUAUUUCUGGCAUUCGCUUCUCUGCCAUUUCUGACUUGAUUUCUCAGCCCUCAGUGGGCUUUGUUAGUUUUUCAGUGUGCCAGCCCUUUAAUAGCUGGUGGAAUUAUGGUUUGCUAAUUAAUUUCUGGUUCUUUUUCUUGAUCGUUUUGUCUUUCUACUUUCCCUGGGUUUAAUUUGCCUUCUAAUUGUUUCAGAUGAAUGUUUCAGGGAUGGGUGUAGAACCACUCUUUAUGACAAAUGUGUGCCUUUCACGAUGCAAAUCACACUCGGUGAGGGUCCCUUUCCCACAAGUUUAUGCCUCUAGUUUCAUGAAGCCUUGUCAUUCAGAUGCAAACACUUUAGAGUAAUUAUGCAUUCCCAAGCUUACGUUUUUAAAUCUUUGCCUAUACAUUAUAUUCCAGAUUCCAUUGUCAGAUAUUUUUCCAAGAAGCCGGUAUUUUUGGUACUGUUUACACAAUGAAUAGUUUCAAGCUUCCUUCUACGUCUAAACUUGAAGCAGAUCUUUUGUAAACAUAAUUUCUUUUUAAUCUAAAAAGACAUUUAUUGGAAUAGCUCAUUAGAAGAGUCAAUCUCUUUAGGUAUAAUUCAAUUCCUACUGGAUUUAGCUGCUAAAUUAUCCUGCUCUCCUCUGCUUAAAAAAAAAAAAGAAAACAAUCUAUGCGUGUGUGUUUGUGUAUGUGUGCUUAUAUGUAUAUCUGUGUAUUUAUGUAUAUGUUUGUAUGUAUAUUUGUGUAAGCAUAUAUUUAUGGACAUGAGUGUAUCACUGUGUGAAUGUUUGUGCAUCUGUGGAUAUGUAUCAUUAUGUGUAUAUGUUUUAUCUAUGUAUGUGUAUGUAUUUGUAUGCAUAUCUGUAUACAUGUAUCAGUAUAUAUAUGUGUGUGUGUGUUUAUCUGUGUAUAUAUAUCAGUAUAUCUGUGUAUGCAUAUGCAUGUAUUUGCAUGUAUAUGUGUAUCUCUCUGUGUGUGUGUAUGUGUAUCAGUAUAUGUCUGUUUGUAGUCUCCUCAACUGACUUUAAUCUCUGCAUCCUGUCUCAUGGUCCCAGUGCUCUGGCCUUUGCAGAGGUUAGAGGAUAAUGAGACUGAAGGUUCAGUUCUGUUUGCGAGUCCUUCAUACUUGAGGGAGACGAUGGAUAAACGAGGCGCUUCGUAGUAAAUGUCUUAGGGGGAACGCACGAUAGUCCACUGGCGAUUUGUUUUCCUUUGAACAGUUGAACAUGGAAGCUCAACUCUGAGGUGUUCUCUCUGCUCACACCAUUUUCAAAACGACCCAGUCUAUAAUCAAAAUCAGAAAGGCAAGACACUAUGCCAUUCCAGUAGCAGAAAUGCAGAUGGGCUCAAAUGUCAAUGUCAGGACUCUAAGCAGACAAAGGUCCUUGGCAAAGUGGCUGUGGUAGGGGUCUCACAGAAUAGAAAACCGUUUUCCUUCCCAUUGAGUUAGACACCAUGUUUAGUCGCCGCCAUUCCACAAACCCUUUAGACAGCGCAGAUCCUACUGGUAGGGAAGACCCACGUUUAAGACAAAUCUCCCCACAAUCGAGGUAUUCUCAGGCUUUCUGGAAGUUCUAGGUCAGACACCAUCUUUGACCUCCUUUCAGCUUCUAGGGUUCCAAGCUUCCGUGACCCAUAGUAUUUGACCUCUGCUUCAGUCCUCACAAGUCUCUCUGAGACUAUGACUCUCCUCCCUCCUCCAACAAGGAUUCUUGUGAUGCCUUCGGUCCACCCAGAUGACCCAGGAAACCAGCUGGUUCUUGCUCUGGAGUUCUUAGCUUCCCAGUCCUGUGACCGCCAUCAUAUGGGGUAUACAAGCGAUCCAGAAGAAGAUGUAUGGUAUUUCCUGGGGGACACUCAAGGUGUUACUUUGCUUCCUAUUGCCGUGAUAUACGCCGGGACUACCAGCAACUUGGAGAGGACAGGGCUUAUUUCAACUUGCAUCUUGUAGUCCAUCCUGAAGAGAAAAAUGAGAGUUGGAACUCAAGGCAGGAACCCAGAGUUAGGAGCUGAAGCUGACGCCAGAGAAGGACACUGCUUAUUGGCUUGCUCAGAUUAUUUUCUUAUACACCCAGGACCACAUGCCCAGGGGUGGCGCUGUCUCCAGUGAUCUGGGUUCUCUCGUAUCAAUCACUAAUCCAAAAAAAAAAAAAAAAAAGAAAAGAAAAGAAAAAAAAAAAGAAAAAAAAAGUCCCACGGACUUGCCCACAUGUCAAUCUGAUGAAAGCAUUUUUUAAAAAAAUUUUUUUAAAAAAUGAGGUUCCCUCUUCCCAGACAACAACUGUAGCAAUUACAAUAUGACAAACCCCACAACACGUGGGGAAUGAGAGCCAGCAAUGACGAAAGAGAUAGUUACCAUAAUCUGCAGUUUAGGUAGACUUUAUAUUAUGUGUAAGGUCUUCAAAGUGUCUCCUCUGAGAAAUAUUUUCCUGUCCAGGUGACAGGCAGGUCCAGAUGAAGGACAAAUCCAGGUGAUGGGCAGGUCCAGGUCCAAUUAGAUGGGCUUUUUCAGAAAGAGUAAUGUGUCCUUCUUUGUCAGGAAGCGCCCUGCUGGACAAUAACCUCAUAACGCUUAUGGUCCCUGGAACUAGGUACAGAUAGCUGUUAACUAAUGACGAUCUACGCAGUUCAGGAUGCAAUGGCUAUAUCCAAGGUCAGAGCUCUGACUCAGAUCUCAUCUUUCUGACCAGUACAUACAGCCUUGAAGCUGUUUAUUAUAGGGUCCCAGGUGACAUUCAAACCUGGUCACAUCUAACUGGCUGCCCAACAAAAUAAAUGUCCAUCAACCCUUCAUGGCUGCCUCAAAACUCUUUUUGCUGUGGCAGAUGACAAGCUCAUAGACUCUGAGUGUGAGAACUGAGCAUCUUCAAGGGGCCAAUUAUUCAACAUGUCCUAUUAAAAUCCCUAGUGUAUUUAACCUUCUUCCUUGUGAUGAAAGUAUAUACUUAAUAAUAAAAGUACUGACCACUGGUCCUAAAUGUACCAAACACAUCACUGAUGGAGAUCCCUUGUCAACCACAGACGGGACUCCAUAUGAUGUCCUCAGCAAUCCUGUAAUCUGAAAACCAUUCAAACCGUGGGUGAAGUGCAUCAACAAAGACAUUUCUGCUAGCCUUGAAAAUUCCAGGAAUCUAUAACAACAGAGCAUUCUUGUAUAGAAGCAGCUGAGUCGAGGGUGGUUCAGCUGACUCAUUAUUGGGGUACUCUGCUGUGUUAAUCAAAGGCCUUGAUAUGACCUUCAUUAAUUCAGACCACUUCCCUGGUGCCCUUUGAAAUCUAAGAAUGCAAAACAAAGUAAUUGCGCAGAUAAUUUGAUAACUGCUACUAUGAUCUCCAGCACAGAAGAGGUCAAUGGAUGUGUUGAACGACUCUGCUGAGAGGCCCGUGAAAUUCCAUUCACUUUGUCGAUGCCUGGUUUCUCAUCACGAAGCAGAAUGGCUAUAUUAGUUUCCUUCUUGUUGCCUGAACCAAUAUGCCCAACAAAAGUGGUUUAAAGGAGGAAGGGAAGGUGUUGUGGUUGGUUUCCUAUCAAUUGGCACAGGCUUGAGUCACCUGGGAAGUGUGAAUCUCACUUGAGAAAAUGACUCCUUCAGAUUGUCCUGUAGGCAAGUCUUUGGGGUCAGGGGGCAUUUUCUUGGUUGAUGAUUGACGUGGGAGGAAGCAGCCCCCUGUGGGUGCUGCCACCCCUGGGCAAGUGGUCCUGGUUGUGGUAGAAAACAAACAGAGCAAGUGAUUGGGAGCAAGCCAGUAAGCAGCGCUCUUCUGUGUGUGGUCUCUGUUUUAGUUCCUGCCUUGAGUUCCUGUCCAGAUGGUGCCAGUCAGGGAUGGAGUUUCAGCUGUGAGAUGAACAAACCCUUUCCUCUUCUCCAAGAUGCUUUUGGUUACAAUGUGUACAGAAAUGAUUUCAUAGCUGCUACUCUGACCUGCAGAAUACUAUCUAAGGGUGUAGGGAGACCUCAAAGCCCUUUAUGCUCCUGGAACAGCGGAGAGUCUCUCCCUCACUGCCCUGUACAGAUUAAAGACUUUUUGAGGUCUAUCAAAUACAAAAUCAUUUUUGUCCUUGGUGUGCAUGCUUUUUCAGACCAGCUGAAUUGGCUUUAGGAAUUGUUACUUUAUAGCUGGGUCUUUGACACCAGCUGCUGUGUGGGAAAGGGGGAGGGGAGGCGCAUGCAAAGGGUUGUUAAAGCUGGUGAAAAAUUUGCCUCUGGCUGAGAAUCGUGUAAAUCUUCGUGUUAUAACGUUAAGCAAGGUGCAGCGUCAUUACAACAUUCAAUUAUUUUGAUGCUUCAAGGCAAAUGUUUCCAGGCCUAGAAUAUUAGUCUAUUUGACAGGCAGCAAAUGCUGUUGUGUUUUCGUGGAGUGAUGCCCAUUUGUAAAGACGUGAACCCAUGCCGUUCUGCCUAUUCCCUGCCUGCUCUCCACACCCUCAUUAGUACACCAGAGUCUAAUGGAAGGGGCUCCCCAGGUUCCUUUUUAUAAGGGAGAUGGAGCUACUGAUUCCUAAGGAGCAACUGCAAGGCUGUGGAAGACCACUGUCUUGGGGCUUCUGUGACUGUGAUAAAACUCACCACCCUAAGCAACUCGGGGAAGAAAGGGUUUAUUUCGGCUAACAGCUUGGAAAGAAGCCAGAGCAGGAACCUGGAGGCAGAGGCUGAAGCAGAGGUUAUGGAGGAGUGCUGCUUACCAGUUUGUUCUCCAUGGCUCGUUCCUUUUGCUUUCUCCUGCCCAGGAGUAGCAUCACCCAUGGUUGGCUGGACGCUCCCACACCAGCCAUCAAUCAAGAAAAUCACCACAGCCUUCCCUGCAGGUCAAUUCGAUGGAGGUGAUUCCUCAAAUGAGGUUCACUCUUUAUAGAUGAGCUCUCAUCUGUGUCACAUUGAUGACAAUUAACCAGUACAAACGCCAAUAAAACUUUAUCUGCAAAAGUGCAGAGGAGCAAGUAGAUAUCCUGAGGUCUGCAGCUUGACAACUAUCCCACAGGCUAGGUUUACUGUACUUUUUAAGUCUCUUCAGUGAAUCUUAAGAAAGGACAGAGGGUUCUUGGCUAUUUAUUCACAAAGGCAUCUGAUUUAACCAGGAACAGCUUAUGCAGCGUUUGUUAAAAAACACUCAUGUGCAAGGCAGAGAGCUGUGCACUUCUCAUAUACCUUGUCAAGUAUCUGCCAUCAGUGUGGAUAGCUGUGUCCGUAACAGUGGACAUGCCGAGUGAACAGACUGUAGCCCUGAGGUCAAGCCUACCCCUCCCCAAUGUGCUUUAUAAAUAAAGUUUUAUUAACACACAGCCCUGCGCGCCGAGGCUGUUUUUCCACCAGCAAGGUAGAGUUCCAGGAUUAGGUGCCUUUCUCCUUGCUGUGACAAAAUGCCUGAUAUAAAGCAACUGAAGGAAGCGAAGAAGUUUUAUUUUGGCUCACGGUCUCAGGGUGCAGUUUUAUCACGGCAAGGAGGGUUCUGCUACAGUCUCCCUCCACAGCUCUUUGGACAAACCACCAAGGAUGUCAACCUCUUCUGGGUGCCUGAAUGCUCUGGGAUACAUCACGCAUCCACUUGACAAUGUUGUGAGAGGUAAGGCUAACCAUGAGAGUACCAGUGUUUUUCAGGGUUGCGUGCCCCUGUCUCUGGUGUCCUGAGCUUAUGGCACUCCACUGACGAUCCCAGCCUGCUUUGCGCGCUCUGGUUUCUGGCAUCAGCCUUUAUGGAGGGUUGGCACCACAUCUUAUUUUGCUCUCUCUGAUCUGCUGAGGGUUUGCAAGCCAAAUAAGUACUCGCAAGAGUUGUGUGGAAAAACAAGUUUUUAGGCCCUGCCUUUCUGCUGGACGUGGGCUCUGCAAGUUCCCACUCCUCACUGUAGGGCAUUUCGUCUAGGGUCCCUCCCCCUUUUAAAUCCUGAGGGUCUCUCAUCUCCCAGGUCUCUGGUGCAUUCUGGAGGGUUCUCCCAAUCUCCUAUCUCCUGAGGUCACCAGUUUCCAUUCUUUCAGCUAGCCCUUAGGGCUUCAGUCCUUUUCCCCCAUCCAAUACCAGAUCAUGUCCCCCUCUCCCCCAUGUCCCCUUUCCCUCCCGAAUCCCUCCCUCCUUCCUUGUGGAUGUUUUCUUCUCCCUCCCCAGUGGGACUGAGGCAUCCUCACUUGGGCCCUUCAUCUUGUUGACCCUUUUGAGUUCUAUGGACGGUAUCUUGGGUAUUCUGUCCUUCUUUUUUGGCUAACAUCCACAUAUUAGUGAGGACAUACUGUGCAUGUCCUUUGAGUCUGAGUUACCUCACUCAGGAUGAUACUUUCUAGUUACAUCCAUUUGCCUGCAAAACUCAGGAUGUCCUUGCUCUUAAUGGCUGAAUAAUUAGUAUUCCCUUGUGUAAACGAACCACAUUUUCUGUAACCAUCCUUCUGUCAUGGGACACCUGGGUUGUUUCCAGCUUCUGGCUAUCACAAACAAGGCCUCUAUGAACAUAGUGGAACAUGUGCCCCUGUGGUGUGGUGGGGUGUCUUUGGGGUAUAUUCCCAAGAGUGUUAUUGCUUGGUCUUUAGGUAGAUCUAUUUCCAGUUUUGUGAGGAACCUCCAAAUUGAUUUCCAGAGUGAUUGUACCAGUUUGCAAUCCCACCAGCAAUGGAGGAGUGUUUCUCUUUCUCUACAUCCUUGACAACAUGUGCAGUCACCUGAUGUGUUGAUCUUAGCCAUUCUGAUUGGUGUGAGGUGGAAUCUCAGGGUCAUUUUGAUUUACAUUUCUCUGAUCACUAAGGACUUUGAACAUUUCUUUAGGUGCUUCUCAGCCAUUCGAGAUUUCUCUGUUGUGAAUUCUCAGUUUAGUUUUAUACUCUAUUUUUUUUUAUUAUUUUUUUUUAGUGGUUAGCUUCUUGAGUUCUUCAUAUAUUUUGGAUAUUAGCCCUCUAUCAGAUGUGGGGUUAGUGAAGACUUUUCCCAAUCUGUAGGAAGCCAAUCUGUCUUAUUGACAGUGUCCUUUGCCUUACAGAAGCUUUCCAGUUUCAUGAGGUCCCAUUUAUCAAUUCUUGUUUUUAAGUGUGAGCCAUUGGAAUUCUGUUUAGGAAAAUUUCCCCUGUGCCAAUGAGUUCAAGGUUCUUUUUUCACUUUCUCUUCUAUUAGACUGAGUGUAUCUGGUUUUAUGUUGAGGUCCUUGAUCCACUUGGACUUGAGCUUCAUGCAAGGUGGCAAAUAUGGGUCUGUUUUCAUUUUUCUACAUACAGACAACCAGUUAGACCACACCAUUUAUUGCAGAUGCUUUUUCCCCAUUAUAUAUUUUUUACUUCUUUGUCAAAAAUCAAGUGUGUGUAAGUGUGUAGUUCUUUAAUUCUAUUCCAUUGAUCAACAUGUCUGUCUCUGUACCAGUACCAUGCAGUUUUAAUCACUAUUGCUCUAUAAUAGAGCUUGAGGUCAGGGAUGGUGAUUCCCCCAGCCAUUCUUUUAUUGUUAAGAAUUGUUUUCACUAUUCUGAGAUUUUUGCCUUUCUAGGAGAAUUUGAGAAUUGCUCUUUCCAUGUCUUUGAAGAAUUGUGUUGGGAUUUUGAUGGGGAUUGCAUUGAAUCAGUAGAUUGCCUUUGGUAGGGAUGGUCAUUAUUACUAUGUUAGUUCUGCAAUCCAUGAUCAUGGGAGAUCUCUCCAUUUUCUCAGAUCUUCUUCGAUUUCUUUCUGGAGAGACUUGAAGUUAUUGUCAUCCAGAUCUUUCACCUAAUUGGUUAGUGUUAUCCCAAGAUAUUUUAUAUUAUUUGUGGCUAUCAUGAUGGGAGUUGUUUCCCGAAUUUCUUUCUCAGCUUCUUUAUCAUUUGUAUAAAAGAAGGCUACUGAUUUAUUUGAGUUAAUUUUAUACCCAGCCACUUUGCUGAAGUUGUUUAUCAGUUGGAGAAGUUCUCUGGCAGAAUUUUUGGGGUCACUUAUGUAUAGUCAUAUCAUCUGCAAAUACCUUUAUUUGUUCUUUACCAGUUUGUAUCCCUUGAUCCCUCUUUGUUGUCUUAUUGUUCUAGCUAGCACUUUGAAUGCUGUAUUGAAUAGAUAUGGGGAGAGUGGGCAUCCUUGUCUUAUCCACAAUUUAAUGGUAUUGCUUCAAGUAUCUCUCAACUUAAUUUGAUAUUGGCUGUUGGUUUACAGUAAAUUGCUUUUAUUAUGUUUUGGUAUGGACCUUGAAUUUCUGAUCUCUCCAAUACUUUUAACAUGAAGGAGAGACAGGGUUGCUAUCCCACAGUCAAAAGUCUGACCCAUAAUUGUUCCUGUCUGAAAGAACUGCAGGGAUGGAAAUGGAGAAGAGCCUGAGGGAAAGAAGGUUCAGGGACAGGCCCAAAAGGGAAUCCAGAUCGAGGGGGGGCAAGGCCUGACACCAUUACUGAGGCUAUGGAGUGCUCACAAAAAGGGACCUAUCAUGACUGCCCUCUGAAAGACCCAAAAGCUGCUGAAAGAGUCAGAUGUAAAUAUUUGCACCCAACCAAUCAGCAGAAGCUGCUGAACCCUGUGGUUGAAUUAGGGAAAAGCUGGAGGAAGCUGACGAGGACAACCCCGUAAGAGGACCAGCAGUCUCAAUUAACCUGUACCCUUGAGAUCUCUCAGACACUGCAUCACCAACCAGGCAGCACACACAAGCUGAUAAGGCCCCAACACAUAUACAGCAGAGGACUCGUGGGUCUGGAUCCAGAGAAGGUGCACCUAACCCUCAAGAGACUGGAGGCCCCAGGAAGCUUAGAGGUCUGGUAGAGUGGGUAGGGUGGGGACCUCUUAGUGGAGACGGGGGAGGGAGGUAUAGGACAUGGAACAGUAGGAGGGUGGACCAGUAGGGAAAUAAAAUCUUGAAUGUAAAAAUAAAAAAUAAAAACCCCCAAGAUUUAAAAAAUACUAUUCUAUUGCAUUAAUUAAUCCAUAUUUGCAUUGUCAUGGGAAUGUGCUACCUAGCAUAUAUUGUGGAGGUCAGAGGGUAACUUUCAGGAGUCAGUUUUCUUCUUUCAUUGUGUGACCUGGGAUUCGAACUCACGUCUUCAGCAUUGGUGGAAAGCACCUUUAUUUGCUGAGCCAUCUCGCUGGUCCCACCUGUGAGCUUCAGAGUUUUCAAUAGUUGCUCUCACUUCAAAUACAUUUCUACCUGAGCUACAGCCCUGUACACUCUCUGGAGUAUUGCCUAUAGAUGUUGAAGGACUGUAGGUUUCUUACACCCAUAAUGGGUACUCAAUGCCUCCAAAACCUGAUUAGCUUAAUCAGAACACUGAAGUGUUUGUCUCAGAGCCCACAGAAGGCACACUACAUUCUUAUCACAGCUGCUCAUCUGUAUAUCUUCCCAGAGAGUGUGGCUAUGGUGUUGGGCAAGACCACCAUGCCUAACCAAGUUUGCCCUGCUGCAGAAACCUGAGCCUGAGUCUUCUUGGACCAACAUAUUUUACUCUCGAGACUCCAUGAUUCAUACAACCACCUCACCAUGAAUAUCAUCGUUGCCAAAUUACAGCGCAGGGACAGACCUGAUUAAACCCAUUGAUUCAAUUUUAGCGUGACUGAGUUAUUGACAUGGCCGUGAAUUAUCUUAUUUGUGUGCAGCCGAAGGCCAGUAACAGAAUUUAGGAGAAAUUAUGUCUGGGUAGCAUGGGUGAGAAUAUGUCUAAUUCAGGGGUUUGCUCACACUAAGGAGAGGUCUUUCCCUGGGGCAUUAAGGUUGUCAGAAUUCUCUAGUGGAUUAAUCUCAUAUAUCAUCAUUUCUCUGGAUGUGCUACUGGGGGGAUAGGUAACUACAAAAUAGGUUAAAAACAAGUUAUGAGAACUGCUGUUUUUGUUUGUUUGCUUUUCUUGCUUUUAGUUUCUGUUGUCCUCUUGAAAAUGACACAUUUUGGCAUUCUAGAAUAGGAAUUUAUUCUAUAUUUUCAAGUCUAGCAUGUCAGCUUUAUUCUUGGGCUGACGCUCCCCACAUUAAAUAUGACAAGCAUAAAAACAACUGGAUCAGACAUUAUGCAGAGUACAUGAGCCAGACACCAAAGUUAAGUAAAAGAGCCAUUUUAGUGACUAGUCAGUCUCAUAAAAACAGCAAGAAACAAUAGGAUGCUAUUUAUGGGAGUGAGAGGAUUUGUGUAGAUUAAUGACUGCUUAAGUCUUGGUUUUGCAGAGCAAAAGUGUUCUAAAAACUUCUGGUUCAAGGUGUGAAUGUACUUGGCAGUCCUGAGCUGUACACUUUAUGUGGAUUCUGGGAAUUGAACCCAGAUUGCUGGGCUUGCAAACCAAAUACAUUUUUUUCUCAUUAAUCUUCCCAGAAGCUUGAAUUGCAUGCUUAAAAAUGAUCAGGAUGCUAAAUUUGAUGUUCAAUUUAUUUCAUUGAAAUUUGGAAACUUUGAGGAACUUGGGAGAUCACUCAGUUGGUAACAUGCUUGUCAUGAGGUCUGAUCCACAGCACUCUUAUAAAAUCUGGGUGCUAUAGUUGGUUCCUGUAUAGGGGAUGAUGAGAGAGACAGGAGGAUCCCUGGGUUUCACUGACGAGUCAAAUAAAUGAGUCAUUUGGGCUAAUUGGCUACCAUUGGCUUGCCAAUCAUCACUGGGAUUUUCCUGUUCCUACCUCCCAGAAGUCGGAUCACAGGCAGAGUCUGCCAUACUUAAGUUUGUUCUGUAUGUGAAUGCUGGUGGUCAAAACUUGUGUUCAUAUAGCCAUCUCCUUAACAUUUAAGGUAACAUUUAGUUGCAUGGUUCAAUAUCUAUCUAUAGUUGAUAUAAAAAAAGAAUGUAAAAGUCAUAGGUUUAGAACUGCCAUCAGAUGCACCUCAGAAAGCCCUCCUUUCAAACGUCACAUCACUGGUUCCCUAGAACUAGUUAAUUGAGAGCAUCAUUUGCCAUUGUAUCCUAGAGUGUGAAGUGCUUGCUGCAAUAUUUUUCAUUAUUUCUUUUGAGGGCAUCUAUAGUGUUUCUGUGGCUUGCUUUCUGUUAUGGAUGCGUUUAUUAUUAUUAUUAUAAUCAUUAUUAUUAAUUACUACUACUACUACUACUACUACUACUACUACUACUACUACUACUACUACUACUACCACCACCACUCUGUGUCUGUGGACAUUUGUACCAUGAAUUUGUACUAUGGCACAUCUGUGCAGCUCAGAGGACAACCUGCAGGAAUCGGUGCUCUAUGAAACCUUUCCAUGGAAUCUGAGGGUCAAACUCAGGUCAUCAGGCUUGCACAGCAAGCUCCUUUACCUGCUGAACCAUUUUGCCAGCCCUGCAUGUGGUUUUAGUUUUUUUUUUUAAAAAAAAAAAACACACAAGCAACUUUGCUUAAGCAUUAUUAGCAAAUAAAAACCGUACAUAAAACUCUUCAUUUUAACAUAGCUAGGUUUAUCUUUUCCUAUUAGGGUUCUUUAUUUUCUUUCCAGGGCACUGAUUAAAGUUUGUUGCCUAGUGUACAGAUGUAACAAGGUCCUCUGACAUUCCUCUCUAGAGGCAUUGUUGUCUUACACCUCCUUUCCAGACACACGGGUGAUUCAGUGUCGCGCAGUUACAUUUUAGAGAAGUCUCAACAUUCUUUUUUGUCCCCUGACCCGGUGACUAUUCAUUGGAGCUGACACCACACACCGAGCGAGCAGUCCUCCACGAUACGAAGGUGGCAGUCUUGUCAUGCAUCAAGAUAACCAUUAACUGUAAUUUUUGUCUCACCAGCACGGAAAAACCUCUGAACACUAUGUUUAGCUCCUCAGUCUCUUAAUGAGGUUUCUCGGCAGGCCUUGGGCUUCUGCCGAGAAGAUGAGGUACUGUCAAAUGCCAGGAGCUGUGGAGGGCCUCUGAUUUCCACUUCAUCUGUCUCCUUUUCCUUCUCCCUUGGUCCUCACUGUCCCAGCUACCUUGAGGGCUAUGAACUUUGAUUUUCAUCUCUCUAUCUUCACAGGGCUUCUGGCUGUGCCAAUUGGCUCGACUUAGGCUAGACCUCCUGCUGAGGCCCAUAACCCUCAUCCCAUCAGUCACACAGACAAUGGCCUGGUGAGCAAAAUCAUGGGAGACUUCGAGUCAUAAUGAGAUUUGUAUUUUUGUCUGUGGUGACCCUUCUUUGAAGCCUUCAAAAAAAUUUUUUUUAAAUGUACUUUGACAGUAUGUCUUUGAGUGUUUACUCUCUCUCUCUCUCUCUCUCUCUCUCUCUGUGUGUGUGUGUGUGUGUGUGUGUGAGAGAGAGAGAGAGAGAGAG